GAUGUAUAUACAAAGAACAAAGAAUACCAUUUGGACCAAUCAAGGGCACAGAUUGUUUCUGUCAAGAGAAGCCAGACAAGCUUAUGGGGGAAGUGUACUGCAAAAGGCCAUAAUCCUUACUCAUUAUUUAAGCAGAUUCACCUCUUUCCAACCAACAGCUCCAUAUUUUGCUGGGUAUACAAGUAACACAACAUCAUUAUAUGAAAUUUAUAUCUGUUGGACCAUUCCUGUCUUUUUUUUGUACAUUGAUAUAAAUAAAUUUUAUACAAAUUA